AGCUCCGGUGUUUCCACCGCUGUCGGAGCACGUCAGAAAUGAAAAACAUGUCCAAACCUUGGAAUAUGUUUAUGACCACAGAUCUUUUUGUAUUGAUGAUGAGUGUACAUGUGCGGCGUCUCUGUAAACAUUCGUGUUCACUUUGCAGCUGUUACAUUGAUAUUCACAAGGCAGAGAGAUCUCUCUCAAGUGUAUUGUUGUAUAACAGCCUGAAUUACAGCAGAACAUGUUUGCUAUUGUACUUGGGAGCUUGGAAGUGGUUUUUAUAUAUAAACUGAUGUGCCAUAUCGGUGGCCGUCCAUCUUGCGCCGAGAUUCAUGACGAGCUUGCUUUGGUUGUUGUGGGUUUUGGGUCUUCACCCGUCAGAGAAGAGAUAGGAAGCCGUGAGCCUGUAGCAGUGAAAUCGCGAGAGGGGAAAGUGUUGGCGUCCCAAGCAGCAGCGAGGGAAAAUGUGUUGGCCUGGAACGUGCAUCAGCACUCGACACAGGCGAUGAAAUUCUUCUUCCGGCGCGAGUUGGCUUUAAGAUGGAAAAAGAGACCCCUAUAAUCUUGCCUCCAUCUCAUGAACCGCAGCCAGUUGUCAUGGGCUUGCCAAGUUAGUGACACUGAAGUGCUACCUCUUGCUCUUGUGGAGUUGGCUUUGAGCAGUGAGCACCAGCUGGUGCAGAAACUUGGAGACCACAUUUAGUACUGUAGUUGUUUUGGGUUCCAAUUAGAGGAGGCUCACAACAUUCACAAGUUGUCAACUUGCAAACUUGCAGUUCACAUUACUUCCUUUUUACAAUGAUGGAUUUCAUUGACUCAAAAUGAAGCACCAAUGCGAUACAAACACAAUGAGUGUACAUUCGACCUCUGCAUGACUAAGAUGCGUUUGAUCAACACCAACGCGCACACACACAAAGAAUGACAAUGGUUAAGAGCAAAGCAAUACAAGAUCAAAGCUAUGACUGGGCAGGCAGUGGCAAAAGAAAAAAAAAACUUCAAAACAAUGGUCGACGAACUACAACAACCACCAUCCGCGCUAAUCAUCUCUUGACAUCACAGGGAUAGCGAGAAACAUUUGUCAGCAACAACGCCUCCAAGGGGGCGAUGCUCAAGUACCACCGUCAUCGGAUCCAACCACGAAAGGUCAGAUCAUGGAUUUCACCCUGAAGAUCAAGUCUGAGCAAAUCCUUCAACAAGGAUACCGAGCAAAAAACACUACCAUUGCCAGGCUACGUUGCACAGAUACUUCUUUUUUUUGCAUGGUAAUACGUGUCUCAUUUAUAAAAUAAAGAUCCAGUUAUAAGGCACGUAAGCACCAACAUUACAAGACUGAAAAGAUAAGAUAAUCCAAUGCAAAAACCCUCUCUGGCACCACCGAAGCGGCCACCAAAGAAAAAAAAAACAGAUCGCCUCUUCACCCGAGCUCGACGCGGCUCCAUCGCUGAUCAGCAGUUUUACGGACCUCGAAAGUAGUUUGCCAGAAGCAAACCCAUUGUCGUUGAAAGAAUCAGACCUGGGCAACAUGUCCCCGGACACGCCAUCGAACUCUAGAUCUGACACCCCCGCACGACAACGACGUCGAAGGAGGAAACCAGAACUGUCAGCCACCAACCACAAACCCAGCACGGGAUGCACCAUCUUCCAGUUGUCACUUGCGCAGACAACCGUCUGCGCGUACUCCUGGACGACAAAACCUCCCUGCUCUACCAUGACGUCGGAGACAAUGCCACAUCAACGGGGACAGAGCAGAAGGAGAGACACACCUGAUGAAGUCGUCGCCGCCGCCUUGCCGACACCAUCCAUGAACCCUAACACAGCCGAUCUGAAGGAUCGGCAAACACAUGAUGCCAUCAACUCCGAGACGCCGCCAUGAAGGGCACCGCCGGUGUGGGAGUGAAGCUGAGGCAGAUUUAUUCAUCCGGGUGCCGCUCCCACCACCCCAACGACACACCACGACCUACAAAUCCAAAACCUAACUACAGAGCGGAGGAACGGGGUCCCCCCUCCCUCCUACCGCCGGAGCAGCCGGAGGGAGAGGGGGCCAACGCCCUGGCCGACUGAGAUCGGAGGAAGAAAAUCGCCUCCCUAGUCGCCUGGCGUGGCGGCGGCUAGGGUAGGGAAGACGUACAUACGCUCGAUAGAUUGCACAGAUACUUCAUAAAGCGCUCUUAUCUAGCCAGAUACUGCCCCGAUACGUAUCCUGUAUGUAUCCUUCAAUUUAUUGAUUUUAGAAAAAUGUUUGAUAUGCUUGGGAUAUAGCUGCAUUACGUUUUGGAUACGAGAAACCCUUCGUUUUGACGUGAAAACCCCUUGACUCCCUUGUGGAGCCGCCGCACGUCUCCAUAACUUCUCAGCUCGUCGAGUCCUCUCCUCUCCUACAUGUUCCUUCUGAAUUCCAACCAAAUCUCUAAUUUUUCGCCACCUUGCCGCUGGCAGGAGACUUGUGCGUGUUUGAAGGAAAACCACGACACUCAUUUUGGAACAGAGGGACUACAUAUAUACAAAUGUAUCCCCAUAUCACAAUUUUUAGAAAAUUAGCUCGGGUGUAUCCCCAUAUCGCGUUCUGAUACAUAUUCAAGUAUCCAUGCAAUAUAGCCGUCAUGUAUAACUAAUUAGGGUCAAACUUAGGGGUUUCGCCCCAAAGCUCGAGAUUGGUAACCAAAUCAAAAUUAUCAUGUGUUGUCGCCACCACUUUCCACGUCUCAGCAGCUACAUGUGUACCACAGUUUAGAUGUGAGAUGCCACACAAGUGAAGAUCAUGCUCAUACAAGUCAAGCCGCAACAAGUGUUAGUCGACACUAAAGGCUCGGAACGACGAAGGUCACCCUCACAAUCUCGUGACCAAGGGCUACCGGAGCAAAGAAUGCCCACUGUAGCCUUCAUCGACCAGUGUUAGGGCUUAGCCCGACCACUGGUCUCUAGCAGCGGGGAGGUAGCAGGCGAAAACUACGGAGAGGGGUGGAGGCAUUGGCUUUGGGGAGAUAGGAGGCAAUUGUUAGGUUUCAGUACUUGAUUUUGUGAAGAGUGAAAUGAUAACAAUAAAGUGUCUUAGCACAUGAGUUUUUGUCGGUUGAGAGCAAGGCCUAGCUCUUUUGAAAGCAAGGCCCAGUCUAUGCCAAAAAGAACUUGAUUUGGAUUGCAAACUCUUGAGAGGAUUCUAGAGAAUCCUGGUGCAAUCCAAAACCUCAAAAAACGAGGAUUCUAAGAUUCUAAACAACCAGAGGCCCGAAAGGUGACUGCCACUGCAUGCAAGUGCCUUCACAAUUGGAUUCGUGAUAGCAAGUUACGUGUGAAAGGAUAGAUNNNNNNNNNNNNNNNNNNNNNNNNNNNNNNNNNNNNNNNNNNNNNNNNNNNNNNNNNNNNNNNNNNNNNNNNNNNNNNNNNNNNNNNNNNNNNNNNNNNNNNNNNNNNNNNNNNNNNNNNNNNNNNNNNNNNNNNNNNNNNNNNNNNNNNNNNNNNNNNNNNNNNNNNNNNNNNNNNNNNNNNNNNNNNNNNNNNNNNNNNNNNNNNNNNNNNNNNNNNNNNNNNNNNNNNNNNNNNNNNNNNNNNNNNNNNNNNNNNNAAUUUUUAGCUUUUCUUUACCAAUUUAAACUUUACAUCAAAGUAGGUUGUCUAGAUAUGCAACCAGGUGAGCAACCUAUAUGAUGCAACAAUAACAAGUACACAAGCAAGCAAGGGAUAUAACACAAAUAAGCUUGCACAAGUAAAGGCACGAGAUAACCAAGAGUGGAGUCGAUGAAGACGAGGAUGUGUUACCGAAGUUCCUUCCUUUGAAGGGAAGUACGUCUCCGUUGGAGCGGUGUGGAGGCACAAUGCUCCCCAGGAAGCCACUAGGGACACCGUAAUCUCCUCACGCCCUCACGCAAUGCGAGAUGCCGUGAUUCCACUAUUGGUGCCCUUGGAGGCGGCGACCGGACCUUUACAAACAAGGUUGGGGCAAUCUCCACAACUUAAUCGGAGGCUCCCAACUACACCACGAAGCUUCACCACAAUGGAAUAUGGCUCCGUGGUGACCUCAACCGUCUAGGGUGCUCAAACACCCAAGAGUAACAAGAUCCGCAAGGGAUUAGAGGGGGGAAUCAAAUUUCUCUUGGUGGAAGUGUAGAUCGGGGCCUUCUCAACCAAUUCCUAAAGAAUCAACAAGUUUGAUUGGCUACGGAGCGAGAUCGAGCGAAAAUGGAGCUUAGAGCAACAAUGGAGCUUGGGGAUGGAAGAGGUGGUCAACUCGGAGAAGAAGACUCCCCUUAUAUAGUGCAAGAACAAAUCCAACCGUUAUCCACUAACUCAGCACGCGACGAGCGGUACUACCGCACCUGGCAAGCGGUACUACCGCACGGGACCACGGUACUACCGCAGGGUACUGCAGUACUACCGCUGGCGCAGCAGGAGCUAGACCAGCCUGUGGCAAGGGCGGUAGAAGCGCUGGAGCGGUACUACCGCAUCCCCUUGCGGUACUACUGCAAGACAGGGUUGGUCUAGACUGAGAAGGCACGGACAUAUAAAAAUACAUCCGUAGCAACUUCCGCUGAGUUCCGAUCCAUGCAAAAAUCCGACACGGUACUACCACACCCGGCAAGCGGUACUACCGCGUAGAGCGCGGAUGUAAAAAAUUACAUCCGCCCCUACUUCCGCUCAUGUUGCUGUGCCAGGCCAGGGCUCACGGUACUACCGCGCCCAUGGGGCGGUACUACCGCGUAGGGCGCUGAUGUAAAAAAUUACAUCCACCCCCUACAGCCGGUCGAGCAGCUGAGCCUGGCCAGAGGCCACGGUACUACCGCUCCCAAGGAGCGGUACUACCGUGAGUACCUGCGGUACUACCGCGCCUACGACCGGUACUACCGCAAGGCACUGCGGUACUACCGCUCGGAAGAGCAGUACUACUGCAUGCCCCAGAACACCAACACUAGGAGUCCUUCAUUUUGCAAAGACACGAAGAAACGGAGGAUUCCCCAAAGAGCCAAAGGAAAGGUGGUGCAAAAAGAAACAGACGUGUACGUGUUGAUUCCACCCAAACCUUUUCAACGCGGACCCCCUCUUAAUAGUACGGCUUUCCUACGACUCAAAUCCACUGAAAAGAAACAUAGAGAAACACCGUCUUCAAUAGUCUUCGAGGGGCACCAAAUCGUCUUGUGCCUAGUCAUGAUAUGUCUGAAAAGCUCAAUGCACACGAUUAGUCCGCAAAUGCAUUGUCAUCAAUCACCAAAACAACUAAGGGAUUGAUGACAAUACGGGAUUUGCACAUAGGGAUAAGAAUAAAACAUAGGCAAACCCCACAUCUAUAAAAUAUAGACGGGCUCCCCCUAGAUGUGUGAUUUCUAGAGAAAUGCUUUGGACUGCACGUCACACAUACUAGGAUCAACACUCCCCCUAUAUUUUAUAGACAAGGCAUAUCUUGCAACAAUAUAGCUAACAUUAAGCAAGGAGGCAAGAUAAUAACUAUGAGCAUAAAGUAAAUGGCACAAGAUAGCAUAGGCUCACGGGCUACGAAAGACAAUAAGGUACACUAGAGUGCAUAUGUCUUACACCAUAUGAAAGAGAACCUGGUCUCACAAGCACAAAACAAACCAAAGCAAACGAGGUCCAACGAAACGAAAGCGAAGUGACAAAGCGAAACAACACGACACACGAGACGCAAAUCCUACACUCUCUCCCCCUUUGGCAUCGAGACACCAAAAAGGGCAGAGAGGACACCUACGACACAUGUGGUAGCUCAAGCUGAAGCGAUCACUCGUCACGCUCCUCGUCGGACUCCGCAGCGGGGAUGGGCUCCUCCUCAGAUUCAGUCCACUGGUAGCCCUGCUUCGUCAUCCAUUCUGCCUCUGGCGUGAUGUGCUUCUCGGACCCGCUGGAUAUCUCCUCGCCAAACGUCCUCAAGAUCCUCUUGUCGCGGCGGCGAAUCUCCUUGGAAGCAACAUGGGUCCGGUACUGGCCCUUGGCCUGCAUACAGAACAGAGCCUUCAUCUUGUUCUUCAGCUUCUUAGCCCAAGAAGGCUCAGUAGAGGGAGGAGCAUACCCAGCAGAGCUGUCCUCAUCCGCUUCCUCCUCCUCAAUCUCAUCCUCAUCAACAUCCAUUCUAGCAGGCUCUGCCUCAGCACGAGUAGCGGUGUUAGCCCACUGAGGCUUGAUGCAGAGCUUGAUGGGGUCGUGAUGGAUCCAGUCAGGUGCAACAAACUCCUCAGCAGGAUAGAGGUUCUCCCAAGUCAUCGUGAUCAAGAGAAACAGGUAAGGUCCAUAGAUGGGUACCUUACGGUUGAACACCGCAAACCGUAGCUCGCACCACAUGAUGUGUUAGACGUCAAGUGGUUGUGUAUGAGUGUGACGCGCCUCCUCACAAAUGAGCAUCAUAUCCAUGAGAUAGGCAUGCACCUUGUCCUUGUCACCAAUGCGGGGAAAGAGGGAGUUGCGGAAGAUCCGGUGCAUGAUGUCAAGGAAUGGGUUCAGCACCCACACCUUCUUGCCACUGGGAAGAGUCUUCUCAACAUAGAAUUGCUGAAGCUUGCUCUUGCUAGCGGACUCGGGGUUGGCAUGAGGGCGGACACCAACGGGCGUGUUGAGCCCCUCAUCAGGCACCUGCAGCAAAGCCAUGACGUCCUUCCAUUUAGCAGUCAUCUGUUGUCCAUUGGUCAUCCAAGUCAUGGACCGUUCCUCAUCAGUAUGGAAGUGGAUUGAAGCAAAGAACUGGGCCACAAUCUCAGGGUCAAAGUCCAGGUGGAAAGAGAUCACGUCCUCAAUUUCAAACUGCUCCACCAGGUCCAAAACCUCACCAAAAUGGUCACAGUGCUUAUCCUGCCUCAUGUGAUUCAUGUUAGUCCAGUGCACGUCCACGUAGAUGUUCUGCUUGGCCUUGAUCACAUCCAGAUAGAUAAGAUUCUGCUGCUUGGUCCAGAACAAAUCAUUCCCUCUGAAGUUGGCACGAGGAUUCACAUAGGGGUUGAUCCUCCUUUGAGUGACAAACUCAGCAAGUGGUAUCUCAUCCAUGCCCAUGGAGGGCUCCUUGUUCUUGGUGGCGGUGGUUUUGGCUCUGCGUUGGGGGGCAUUGGAGCCCUCUGGAGCUUCAUCUUGGUUGCGCAGACGCUUGGAGCCCGUGUCACGACUGGGAUUGGAACGGCGAACAUUGGAACCGGAGCCACCACCUAUGAAACAAAACACAAGAACACGCAAGAGAAGCGAGAAGGAUCAAUGCAAAGACCACAACAACACAAGUGAAACAAGUAGAAAUAGCAUUGGGUGUAAUUGCUACAUGGAAGAUUUGACAUCAACGGUAGUACCGCACGGAUGCACGAAACUAAAAUUUUAGUGCUGCUCCAGCCACGGUAGUACCGCGCCAGAAUGGCACGGUAGUACCACGCCUGGAGCGGAAGUAAAAUUUUACUUCCGCGCCUCGCGCGGUAGUACCGCUCCUGAGGAGCGGUAGCACCGUACGAGCGGUAGUACCGCACGGGAGGUGCGGUAGUACCGCACGGGGUCGGAUCUGAAACACAAAUGGAUCUGAGCACAGCCAUGACAACGGAGCGGUACUACGGUUGAUCAAAUCUAUCAAGGGGCAACAUACCAAUACCAACUCUACGCAUUACUACUCUCCUACAUCCUACUCUUGCAAAGAUUUGGCCUAAAAUCUCAAGAACAACAUGCAUCUCCCCAAAAACCUAGAGACGAAAGAACAAACCAAAGAGAGAGGGAUUUGGGGAGAAACCUUGUUCCAUGACAAGAGGGUGAGGUGGGGAUCGAUCCCACCGGUCGGAAUGCGAGGAGAGUAGCCGAAGACGGAGAUCCGGCGAGGUCCUCCGGCGCCGUUCUUGGGCAGGAGAGAGAGAGACUUCGUGGGAAAAAAUAGUUGAAUGGGUAUGGGGGAGUUGGAACUCCCCCUGCCCGCUCUUAACCCCCACGCGCUCGCGUCUGCGUGGUAGUACCACGGGUCACCGCGGUAGUAUCGCCCGGGCGGAAGUACCGCACACUGGGCGCUAGUACCGCUCGUCCAGCGGCAGUAAAAAAUUACUGCUGUGCUGGGUGCGGUAGUACCGUGCGCAGCUCCUGCGGUAGUACCGUGGCAUGCCACGGUAGUACCGCAGACCCAAGAAAAUGCAUGUUUCGCAAAAGAGAAAAACAGCCUUUGCAAUACACCCUUCAAAUGAACGGACACACCAAGAACACACACACGAGGCAACUCAAACACAAGCUCGGCUCGAAGAAAGAAAGACAAAGGACCACAAGGACCAAACAAGCGACACAACCUCUCCAAAGAGAGGGCGGUGGCCGAAUCCACAUAUGUUUGAGUCAAUUGGUAUGGCACCGUGAAGAAUUAUCCUUGGGUCCAUGACCAAAACUCGUCUUUGAAGCACAAGUACCAUAAAAAUGGCUAAUGUGAAAGAGUUGAUCAAUUUAUGCAUAAUGGGGGAAGGGAGAGUUCAUUGUGAGAACGACACUCUCCCUAUGUACAUGCCUACACCUAAACAAGAUAACAAGUUGAGUAUGGUGGGGUGUGCAAGGGUUCAAGCCACAUUGCUCGAAUCAAUGAUAUUUAGCUCAUGCCUUAACUCACGAAAUCUUGCUUCAUCCAAGGGCUUCAUGAAGAUAUCUGCAAGGUUAUCAUGAGUGUUGACAUAGUUGAGCUCGACCUCCCCUCGCCGAAUGUGAUCCCGGAUGAAGUGACACCGAAUCUCAACGUGCUUCGUCUUGAAGUGUUGCACCGGGUUGAGAGAAAUCUUGAUGGCACUUUCAUUGUCACACCAAAGAGGCACUUUGUCACAAAUGACACUGUAAUCCUUUAAAGUUUGCCUCAUCCAUAGAAGUUGUGCACAACAACUACCGGCGGCCACAUACUCCGCAUUGGUGGACGAGAGAGACACACAACUUUGCUUCUUAGAAGACUAACUCACCAAAGAGCAACCAAGGAAUUGGCACCCUCUGGACAUGGACUUCCUAUCCACUUUGUCUCCCGCCCAAUCAGAGUCCGAAUAGCCUACAAGAUUGAAGUUUGCUCCUCUUGGGUACCAUAAGCCAAAGUUUGGGGUAUGAGCCAAAUAUCGAAAGAUCCGCUUGACCGCCACAAAGUGGCUUUCCUUAGGCGCGGCUUUAAACCGUGCACAAAUUCCCACACUCAACAUGAUAUCCGGUCUAGAUGCACAAAGGUAAAGCAAGGAGCCAAUCAUGGAACGAUAUACCUUUUUGAUCCACCGCUUUACCAUUGGGAUCUAUGUCAAGUUGGCAUUUGACGGGCAUUGGAGUGGAAGCCGGCUUGACAUCACUUAGCUUGAAUCUCUUGAGCAUGUCUUGAGUGUAUUUGACUUGGUUGAUGAAGGUUCCUUCUCUUCUUUGCUUGACUUCGAAUCCGAGAAAGAACUUCAACUCUCCCAUCGAGGACACCUUGAACUUUGAGGUCAUGAGAGCGGCAAAUUCCUCAUUGAAAGCUUUGUUAGGGGAACCAAAGAUAAUAUCAUCAACAUAUAGUUGGCACACAAACAACUCCCCUUUGACCUUCUUAGUAAAAAGAGUGGGGUUGAUUUUCCCAAUUUCAAAACCCCCGAUCUUGCAACAACUCGAUAAGGUGGUCAUACCACGCACGUAGGGCUUGUUUAAGGCCGUAGAGUGCCUUAUCGAGUUGGUACACAUGAUCGGGGAAAUAGGGAUCCUCGAACCCGGGUGGUUGUUUGACAUACACCAACUCACUAAUAGGACCAUUAAGAAAAGCACUCUUCACAUCCAUUUGUUGCAACUUAAAGUUAUGAUGAGAGGCAUAAGCAAUCAACAAACGAAUGGAUUCAAGGCGAGCAACGGGAGCAAAGGUUUCACCGUAGUCGAUACCCUCGACUUGGGAGUAGCCUUGUGCUACCAAUUGAGCCUUUUUGCGAACGAUAAUCCCAUGAGCAUCUUGCUUGUUCUCGAAUAUCCACUUGGUUCCAAUGACGUUAUGGUUCCCCGUCGGCCUUGGCACCAAUCUCCAUACCUUGUUGUGCUCGAAGUUGUUGAGUUCUUCAUGCAUGGCAUUAAGCCAAUCCAGAUCCUUCAGCGCCUCAUAGACCUUUUGGGGUUCAACACAAGAGACAAACGCGUGAUGUUCACAAUAGUUUGCUAAUUUUCUACGAGUGCUUACCCCCUUUUGGAUGCUUCCAAGCACAUUCGUCAUGAGAUGACCCUUGGUAGUGAGCUUGGAUGCAAUCUUGGUGGCACGACGCUCCAAUUCCUCCUCAGGUGUGAGUUGAGGAGCGGUAACUUGAUCAUCUUGAGCGUCGUCAUGAGCUUGUUCUUGAUCUUGAGGUUGCUCUUGAUCUUGAACUUGCUCGGAGGUGAGAACUUGACCCUAGGCAUCACUUGGUGAUUCAACAACGUCUUGAGGUUGAUCUUGCCCUUGAUCUUGUUCAUGAGGUUGAGGGCCUUCACUUUGUUCUUCAGAAGCGUGUGGGUCUUGGGUUGGUGAUGGUUCCACUUGAGUGGAACAUUGUCCUUCUCCUUCGGCCACAAGGGCAUCCUCAAUGGGUAGGAUAAAACCAACAUCCAUUCUUCUUAUGGCUUGGGGAGGAAUUUCAUCACCUACAUCACAAGUGCCACUUUGCUCCACUUGGGAGCCGUUAUUCUCAUCAAACUCCACGUUACACGUCUCCUCAAUAAGUCCCGUGGACUUAUUGAGGACACGGUAAGCAUGAGAGUUUGUAGCAUAACCAACAAAUAUGCUCUCUUGAGCUCUAUCCUCAAAUUUGGACAAACGAGCACCUUUCUUGAGAAUGAAACACUUACACCCGAACACCCGAAAGUACUUGAGGUUGGGCUUGUUACAGGUGAGUAUCUCAUAUGGAGUCUUGUUCAAGCCUUUGCGGAGAUAGAGCCGAUUGGAUGCAUGACACGCGGUGUUGAUGGCUUCGGCCCAAAAGUUUUAUGGCGACUUGAACUCCGCAAUCAUGGUCCUUGCCGCAUCCAUCAACGUCCGGUUCUUCCUCUCCGCUACACCAUUUUGUUGAGGGGUGUAAGGUGCGGAAUAUUGAUGCUUGAUCCCCUCAUUACUAAGAAACUCAUCCAAGGUGUAAUUCUUGAACUCGAUGCCGUUGUCACUUCUUAUUGUCAAGAUCUUUGCAUUGUGUUGGCGUCGAGCUUUAUUUGCAAAGUCAAUGACAGUUUGUUGAGUCUCACUCUUCCUCUUGAAGAAUAUACCCAAGUGUAUCUUGAAUAGUCAUCCACAAUCACCAAGCAAUACUUCCUACCCCCUAGACUAUCAAAGGAUAGAGGCCCAAAGAGAUCCAAGUGAAGGAGCUCCAAGGGCCUCUUUGAGUAGAUGAUAGUCGUGGGAGGGUGAGCCUUCUCAUGUAGCUUUCCUUCGAUGCAAGCACUGCAAGCACGAUCUUUGGCAAAACUAACAUUUGUUAGUCCAUGGACAUGGUCCCCCUUGAGAAGACUUUGCAAAGAUCUCAUAUUGACAUGGGCUAAACGGCGAUGCCAAAGCCACCCCACGUCAACUUUAGCCAUUAGGCAUGUCGCGGUCUUAGUGGGUCGCUCCGAAAAGUUAAUCACAUAGAGACCGUUCUCGACAUGCCCAACAAAGGCUACUUUAAGAGUCUUGCUCCACAAGAGGGCCACGGUAUCAAUAUCAAAGAAAGUGUCAAAGCCCAUGAUUGCAAGUUGACGAACGAAAAAUAAAUUGUAUGCAAGGGACUCAACAAACAUGACCUUCUCGAUCGUGAGAUCAUGAGAAAUGACAACCUUGCCAAGUCCCAAUACCUUAGAGGACGAGGUGUCACCCCACUCGACAUUGGUGGGUAUAUAGAUGGAAUCUUGUGCACGUCCACCACCAAGUCCUUGCUUCCGGUCAUAUGAUUAGUGGCUCCACUAUCGAGCAACCAUGAUCCCCCACCGGAAGCAAACACCUACAAGAGAUCAAUGCUUGGUUUUAGGUACCCAUUUUGUAAUGGGUCCUUUGAUGUUAGUGACAAGGGUCUUAGGAACCCAAAUAGACCAUUCAAUGUACUCAUAAGGAGAAUCAACAAAUUUAGCAUAAACAUGUCCAUCACUAGCACGGCAUAACACAUAGGAAGAGUUAAAAUUGCCGGCUUUGUUGGAAGGGGUGGUGUCGUGGAAUUGUCACGGCAGAUGUCCUCGGGUUGGGACUUAGUCGUGGAGCCAUCGCAAUUGGGAAGCUUGAAGGGGUUAAGCGGGACAAGGAACACGAGGGUUUAUACUGGUUCGGCCCCUUACGGUGAAGGUAAAAGCCUACGUCCAGUUCGAGGUGUUAUUGAUUAGGGUUACGAUUGCCAGGGAGCUAAACAGCUAUGACCGGCUCCCGAUCAAAUUGUUGUCGCCCUUAAACCGCUGCCGGGUCGUCCCUUUAUAUAGGGAGGCUGACGCCCAGCAGCCCUUAGAGUCCCGGCCGGCUCAUAAGAGUGUCCGGCUCGGACUCUAAACAAUACUUGCCUUACACUACAAGUCUACUAUAACAAUGAUUGUAACUACGGGCUUUAAGCUAUAUCCUGGUCUCCGCCCAUCUCUGGCCCAUUAUCCUGAAACUUAGCUCCGGGCUUCCGGUAAUGAUCCUUGGAGUAACCCGGCCCUCCUGGCGGGUGACCCCCAGGUCUAUAUCCUCAACAUUAGGCCCCAGAUUGACUUGAGCCGGCUCGUGUCAAUCUUCAGCUCUGCAGACAGAAAAAUUCUCCGGCUUACCAUUCAUGUGAAGGUCAUAACCCGGAGUGACGUCAUCCUCUGGACUCCGGAUAAUCCGCCGUGACGUCAUCCUCCAUUAAGUCCGUUUUUUACUCCGCCAGAUCCGCAAUGGAUCUUUACUUUUACUGUCUUUGCGAAAAUCGAGGCGCCGUGAGGGGGAGAUAACCACGCCGUGGCCUCCUUGAAUCCCGCGCCCACUUAUGACUCGGCCUUAUAAAUAGGCCGGCCCGGCACUCUCUUCUCACACUCUCCUUCUUCUUCCUCGCGCUGCCGUUCCUCUGCCCGAGCUUCUGCCGCCGCCGCCGCCGUCGCGCCCCUGAUCUUCACCGACCCGGCCGCUGCAUCACCCUGACCCGGACCAGAUAGCGGCGGCGACCUUCGCUCUUCCUCAACUCCGGUGAGUCUUCCCUGCCUUGCUAGAACAAAUCUGUGGUAGGGUUCAUCUUGUGUUCUUCGCGUUCUUCACCAUUGCCGCAAGUUUCGGUAACCCCUGUAGCCACUGCCCCCGUUGAUCUUAACUCUUCAUAGACCCUUUGCAGUAACUGCUCGAGAUCCAUUCUAUCUGCAAAAAAUCCUCUUUUCACUGCUUAAAAACCAUGUUCCACCUUAAGAACUUCUCCUGUUUCUGUUUCUUUAGGUCUAGAAAAUUUUCAUCUUGCCCGACCAUUUUGAUCCGAAAAAGUUACUGUAAUGUAUGAAAUCUGUUUUACCACACUUAGUAAAAACUGCAACCCUUGAAUCUUGGCGGCUUAUAUUUCCGACUUAAAGAAAACACGCGCCGUAGAACCUUUCCGGUUUAAAGAGAACCAUGCUCUGUAGUAUCUUCCGACUUAACCGUAGUAAGCCGCAGAUGACCAACUCAUCCUGAAUACUCCGACGGCUUAAAUAACCCACCAUGUCAAUACAUACCAUUAGUCCCCUUCAUAAGCCAUCAUUGUAACUUGAAUGAUAAACUCCGGCUUAUAAUUAACCCGGACACUUUCCUCUUUAUCAUAGAUCACCAACCGUCACCAUGCCUCCCAAAGCUCCCAUCACUUGCAACUGGAUGAGAUCCAACAUCACUGAUGAGACCCUGGCCAACUUUGUUAAGUCCGGAUAUCUGCCCAGAAAGGAAGUGAUGUCCUACCGUGCCCCUGACCCGUCCGAAGAGAGACCUCAGCCGAGGGACGGGGAGGUAGUGAUCUUUGCAGACCAUAUGAGCCGGGGCUUCGCACCGCCCGGCUCAAAAUUCUUCCGGGACGUGCUCAACUUUUUUGACCUUCGGCCUCAGGAUAUAGGACCCAAUUCCGUAUCCAACAUCUGCAACUUCCAAGUUUUUUGUGAAGUAUAUCUUGGAGAAGAGCCGAGUCUGCUGCUCUUCAGAGAGCUGUUUUAUUUGAACCGCCAAACCGAGUGCGCAAACGGCCCAAGUCUAGAGCUAGGCGGCAUCUCCAUCCAACGGCGCAGGGACUGCCUAUUUCCUUACGCAGAACCGCCAAGUCACCCCAAGGACUGGAACAUGACUUGGUUCUACUGCCAAGACACGUCCCCGGCUGAUGAAAGCCCGCUGCCCGGCUUUCGCCCAACGCGCCUGGAGCCGACUCAUACGCUAUCCGACAAGCUGUCUGCCGCGGAACGCCAGCCUCUGCUUCCAACGAUCAAUAAGAUCAAGGCCCUGCUAGGCAACGGUCUGAACGGAAUAGACCUGGUCCGGGUCUGGAUCUCUUGGCGGGUGAUCCCGUUGAGCCGCCGCCCCGGCUUAAUGUGUGAGUACACCGGGCGAAAGGAUGACCCGCAGAGGAACAGUCGCAAUGAUCUUCCAGAAGACGUUGCUGAAGAAGAGACCAAGGCUCUGCUAAACGAGAGCCUGGCAGACUGUGGAAGAACCGGGCUAGCCCCGUUCUGCAAGACCAAUCCAGCCCCAGCGGUAAGCCGCUGACUUUAACCUUUCCAUUUUGUUUUACCCGUCCUUUUACUAAGAGCUCAUUACUGUAUUUCGCAGGCUGAUGAUAAAUUCUGGCGGGUCAAGUAUGACCAUGAGGCGGCCAAGAAGGCCAGGAAGGCGAAGAAAGCCGCCAAGAGAGCCGCCCCUCGCAAAAAGGGAAACAGACCCACUGCUUCGGAGCUGCUGCAAUUAAGCGAUAGCUCCGAGUCAGAGGUAACCCUUAAACCUUUUAAAUUCUUGCAGUAUAUGUUGUCUGAUGCUGUCCGCCUUAUCAACACUUGCUUACUGACAGGACGACACCGGCGCCAGUAACCCGGUGAUUGAAGAGGUAACGUUACUCCCCUCCGACUCGGAGCCUUUGCCACAGCUGAAAGUCCGAAGGGUAACCCGGAAAGUAAGCUUUUCUCAUCCAUUAGCUCAUCAAGACCCUCAAUUCCUUUUGAAGCAGCAGGUUCACGAGAGCCGGCGUCACACCCGGGCCCGCAAGGACACCGACCUCUCCACCGGGUUACCCGACGCAACGAGGAAACACUGCACUGAGGUUUUUUCUCACCUGUACCCUUUUCAUCCGUUGGCGGGUGUCAUCCGUCAGCCACUCAACUCUUCUGACUCCAACUACCAGGAGACCUCCCCCUCUUCGGGUGACUCCAUGCAGUCAAGUCUGCCGGCCUUCAAGACUGCCCCCGGGUAAUAACAAUCUCCUUACAUCAUCUGUCUGUACUUACCCUUUGUAUGCCUAACACUUCUGCCUUUUCAGUGCCCAGGCAAAGCUCACCAAAAGAGCAAAGAAGACAAGGUCAGCCGGAGUGCCAGACUUGCCUGAGCCGGAGACGACGGCUCAAGAACCGCCAGCCGCCUCCGCCCCCGAAGCCACCAUUCCCAUGGACACGACGCCUGAAGCCCCUGCCCCGAGCACCAAGAGAACAACCGAAGCAUCAGCUAACCCGGAGGCGUCCGGCUCAGCCCCACCAGCUAACGACCCGGACGUGGUAAUUACCCGGACGGAGUAUGUUGAGCCGGGGAGGCCGACCGCACUGGCCAAAUGCUCCGCGAAGGGGGAGUUGCUGCAACCCCAUCGGGUGAAUCUGGAUCUCUCCAGCUACACCGAUUUAAGCAUUGGAGAGCUUGUCUCAGGCUAUAUCAGCCAGGUUCACAAGAGCCGAGACGCCGAGAUCGCCAUGGUCAACCAGAUCCAACAGAAAUCUGAGGUAACCUUCUGCUGUUUUCUUAUUUCUGCAAAGUGAUCCUUGUCAUUCUAGCCCCCAAGUCUAGGGCUUAUACUUGAACAUGUUGUAGACUUUAGAUUCCGGCUUACUGAACUGAGCCGGCCGUACAUAGAUAGAUACGUUCAAUAUGCAUUAGCCCCCAAGUGCCAAGUGUCUUUGCUUGGAAAGCGCUUGGGACUUUAUAGAAUGACUGUUAAGAACCCGGAAAUAUAUGCAGGCUGUUGGCAAGAAAUUAGAGUCGGACCUGGCGGAUCUCAAGAGCCGGCUGAAGGCACAAGAGAUGGAGACCCGGAAGGCGAAUGCCAAGUUUGUCUCCAGCAUCGCCGCUCAGGAGAAAUUGAAGACUGAAUUCGACGCUGAGCGGAAGGCCUGGGCUGAGGAGAAAGCUGCACUGGUGACCCGGGCAGAACAGGCGGAGAAGGCCCUCACUGAGAAGACCGCUGAGCUCUCCGGUCUAAAGCGCCAAGUGUCCCAAAUGGUAGCUGCCAUCUUCAGUAAGUCGCUUCACCGGCUUUCAUUCACGUUGGAAUGUUUACAUCUCUUAACUCAUCCUUAUCACCGGGUCAUCUGAUGUUGUUAAACAGGUUCCAGAAGCGCCAACUUGAACCAGAGCGUGGUCACCAAGUUAAAGGCCGUGUACACCCUGGUGGAACAGCUCUACACCGGGUCACAACGGGCCUUAGCUGUGGUGGCCCUGUCGAAUGAAGUGCCGACUCAUCUGGCCGAAGUCCUGCGCCGGCUCGCAGUUCUGCCGCAGCGGAUCCAGGAGCUACGACGAGCAUCCGCGAGAUCCGGAGCAAUCGCCGCACUGAGCCGGGCCAAAGCCUUCUUGCCGGAGCUAGACCCCGCAGACAUCGCCCUGGGUUACCCCAGCCUGAAAGAAGACGGCUCAGCGUUCGACCAGAAGGACUUCGCGGCUUGUGUGAAGGCUGUGCGCCCGGUGGCCACCAUCAUCGGGAACGACACCGAUUUAACCAAGUAUCAGCCGGGAUACAACGCGGAGAAUCAGAGGAUUCCAACCCCUCGCUAUGAAGCUAUCAAUCUGAUUCCCCCGGCUCGCCAGCACACCUUCGCCCCGGAGAUUAACCCGGCCGGGUUAAUUGACGAAGAAGCUCAGUUCGAAGCUCUCAGUGGCAUCAACUGGAAGUCGUCGACCUUCGAAGCCUUGGGAUCAGCCGGAGCAGAAGAUGAGCCGGGGACUUCGACUCAGCAGGCGUCAUAAACCGGCUAGCGGCUCACCAAACAACGCUCCACCCUUGAAACUUUGAAAUUUUUUUGUAAUAGAAUAGGUGCAACAAUUUAUCUCUGCCGUGCCAUCGUGCAUGUAAUGAAUGCUGAAAUCCUUUGAAGUCAUUCUUUUUGAUGCUCCUCCGGGUUAUAAUUAUCCUUCGUGCUUCUCAACCUUUUAAAAAAGUACCUUUAAGUAUCUGCAUAAGAAGGCAAAUCACAAGUCACAAGGCGGCUUACCGCCCUAAGAAUCAGGUGUCUGAGAUGGAUAACUCGGAAAUUCAAACCAAAAAGACUGGUCCUUAACUAUAUUCCGAACAUAAUCGUGAUAACACACUCAACAGCUUGUAAGCAUACUUCCGGGUUAAAUAACCCGGGUAGCACGGUUAGUAUCUGAACUCGAAUUUACUUGUCUUGAUGACAUCCAUGAUGCUCAACUAACAAGAUAAACCAAAAUUAAGCCGGCAAGUGAAACCCGGCAGUACAUACUUUGACAUGAUCAGAGUAAACUUGUGGUAAAAUGUAAAAAUUUAAGGGCUUCCGGUUCGAAUACGACCAGAACCUCGGUCCAAAGGGGUUAAGCUAAGAUUCGGAUACGAUCAUAUAGCCCCCAGUGGGUUCGGCGAUGCCAAUCAAGAGGGUAUCGACAGCUAUGUUCUCUUGGGUUCGAAUACGACCCAUGUUUGAACAGGAAGCCCCCAAGUGAUUCUGAAAAUUGUUUAACGACGCUGAUUCGAAUACGAUCCACGUCGGUUCUCAGAGGGGUUAAGCUAUGAUUCAAAUAUGACCAAAGGCAACCUCCCAAUGAGCUCGGCACGUUGCCAAUCAAAUGGGUAUCGAUAGCUAUGUUCUUCUUUGGUUCGAAUACGACCCAUGUGUGAACAGGAAGCCCCCAAGUGACUUUAUUGCUUACAGCUAGAUUUGAAGAUGAUCAUAAGCCGGAUCUUCUGUAAGUCAGCAUGUAAAAAACAACACACAUAUUUGGGAGAGAGCAAAGGACAAAGGUCCUGCUUUAUUGCUUUAUCAUAAUAUAUACAUGGCUGAGAUAAAUAUGUACAUCACAAGAGCCGGUAGCUCAAGUGUAGUAAGGCCGAAGCUGAGCUAUGUUCCACGGCCGACGGGUCUCCUCCUCAGAUUUACGCGAGUCCUUAUGCUCCCGGAUAUCAAUGAGGUAAUAUGACCCGUUGUGCAAGUUCUUACUGACCACAAAAGGCCCUUCCCAAGGUGGGGAUAACUUGUGUGCAUCUGUUUGAUCCUGGAUGAGCCGGAGCACCAGGUCGCCUUCCUGAAAGACCCGGGACUUGACCCGGCGGCUAUGAUAAUGGCGCAGGUCUUGUUGGUAAAUUGCUGAACGGGCUGCUGCCACAUCACGCUGUUCGUCCAACAGGUCCAGAGCAUUCUGGCGCGCCUGUUCAUUAUCCGUCUCAACAUAAGCCGCCACACGAGGUGAAUCAUGACGGAUGUCGCUGGGGAGAACUGCUUCUGCUCCAUAAACCAUGAAGAAAGGCGUGAAUCCUGUAGACCUGUUAGGAGUAGUGUUGAUGCUCCAUAAGACGGAGGGCAAUUCCUCCACCCAACAACCCGUCGUCCGUUGCAAAGGGACCAAAAGCCGGGGUUUGAUGCCCUUCAGAAUCUCCUGGUUAGCUCUCUCAGCUUGACCAUUGGACUGGGGAUGAGCCACUGAAGAAACAUCAAGCCGGAUAUGCUCUCGUUGACAAAACUCUUCCAUAGCACCCUUGGAUAGAUUGGUGCCAUUGUCAGUUAUGAUGCUGUGCGGAAAGCCAAAACGGAAAAUCACCUUUUUCAUAAAUUGAACCGCCGUAACUGCAUCGCACUUGCUAACUGGCUCAGCUUCCACCCACUUCGUGAAUUUGUCAACCACCACCAAGAGGUGGGUCUUCUUAUCCUUGGACCAUUUAAAAGGCCCAACCAUAUCAAGCCCCCAGACUGCAAAGGGCCAAGUGAUUGGGAUCAUCCUCAACUCCUGAGCCGGCACAUGAGCCCGUCGUGAGAACCUUUGGCAGCCAUCACAUUUACUGACCAAGUCCUCUGCAUCAGCGUGAGCCGUCAGCCAAUAAAAACCAUGACGGAAAGCCUUGGCCACAAGAGAUUUUGAACCGGCAUGAUGGCCACAAUCCCCUUCAUGGAUCUCGCGCAGGAUCUCUUGACCUUCCUCAGGGGAGAUACAACGCUGGAAUGCCCCUGAAACACUGCGAUGAUGCAACUCGCCAUCGAUAACAAUCAUUGACUUAGCCCGCCGGGUUAUUUGCCUGGCCAGAAUUUCAUCCUCAGGCAACUCUCCCCGGGUUAUAUAAGCCAGAUAUGGCAUUGUCCAGUCUGGUAUGAUAUGAAGAGCCGCCACCAGUCGUGCCUCCGGGUCAGGGAUAGCCAAGUCCUCCUCUGUAGGCAACUUGACCGAACGGUUGUACAGGACAUCCAGGAAAGUGUUAGGCGGCACCGGCUUUCGCUGAGAGCCUAGCCGGCUUAACGCGUCAGCCGCCUCGUUCCGCCUGCGAUCAAUAUGCUCCACUUGGUAUCCCUGGAAGUGCCCGGCAAUGGCAUCAACCUCGCGGCGAUAAGCCGCCAUUAGAGGAUCCUUAGAAUCCCAGGUGCCAGAUACUUGUUGAGCCACCAAGUUCGAGUCACCAAAACACCUCACCCGGCUUAAGCUCAUCUCCUUAGCCACCCGAAGACCGUGGAGCAAAGCCUCGUAUUCCGCCGCAUUGUUAGUGCAAGGAAACAUCAACCGUAGCACAUAAUGGAACUUGUCACCUUUAGGGGAAGCCAAGACAACACCAGCCCCCGAGCCCUCCAGCUGCCUGGACCCAUCAAAGUGAAUAGUCCAAUAAGUGUUAUCCGGCUUUUGCUCGGGUACUUGUGACUCUGUCCAAUCAUUGAUGAAAUCUACCAAGGCCUGAGACUUGACAGCAGUGCGUGGCACAUAUUUAAGGUCAUGAGGUCCAAGUUCUAUAGCCCACUUAGCAAUUCUCCCUGUAGCCUCUCUGUUUUGGAUAAUAUCACCAAGAGGGGCGGAACUGACCACAGUAAUGGGAUGACCCUGAAAAUAAUGCUUAAGCUUCCGGCUCGCCAUAAACACCCCAUACACAAGCUUCUGCCAAUGUGGAUACCUCUGCUUGGACUCAAUGAGCACCUCACUGAUAUAAUAAACCGGCCGCUGAACCGGAUGCUCCUUACCAGCCUCCUUGCGCUCCACCACAAUAGCCACGCUGACGGCUCGAGCGUUUGCCACCACAUACAGCAGCAAGGGCUCCUUAUCAACCGGAGCAGCAAGGACAGGGGGCUCUGCCAGUUGCUUUUUCAAAUCCUCAAAAGCGGUAUUAGCUGCAUCAUUCCAGAUGAAGUUGUCAGUUUUCCUCAUCAACUGAUAUAAGGGCAUAGCCUUCUCACCCAAACGACUUAUAAACCGGCUUAAAGCAGCGAUGCGACCCGCCAAACGCUGAACGUCAUUUACGCACGCCGGCCUAGCCAAGGAAGUGAUGGCCUUGAUCUUCUCCGGGUUAGCCUCAAUGCCUCUGUCAGAAACCAAGAAACCCAAUAGUUUGCCUGCAGGAACACCGAAAACACAUUUAGCCGGGUUAAGCAUCAUCUUAUAGACCCGGAGAUUGUCGAAGGUUUCCCUUAAGUCAUCUAUCAGGGUUCCCUCCUUGAUGGAUUUAACCACAAUGUCGUCCACAUAAGCGUGAACAUUGCGCCCGAUCUGUUUAUGAAGACAAUUCUGCACACAACGCUGGUAAGUCGCCUGUGCACACUUGAGUCCAAAGGGCAUAGACACAUAGCAGAAGGCUCCAAAGGGAGUGAUGAACGCCGUCUUCUCCUGGUCCUUAACUGCCAUCUUAAUCUGAUGAUACCCGGAAUAAGCAUCCAAGAAACUUAAGCGUGCACAACCUGCCGUAGCAUCAAUGAUUUGAUCGAUACGGGGGAGAGCAAAAGGAUCAGCCGGACACGCCUUGUUCAAGUCCGUGUAAUCCACACACAUCCGCCAGGUGCCGUUCUUUUUAAGUACAAGCACCGGGUUAGCCAACCACUCUGGGUGAAAAACCUCAACAAUGAACCCGGCCGCCAAAAGCCGGGCCACUUCUUCACCAAUAGCCUUCCGCCUCUCUUCAUUAAACCGUCGAAGGAACUGUCUGACCGGCUUAAAUUUUGGAUCAACAUUGAGAGUGUGCUCAGCGAGUUCUCUAGGUACACCUGGCAUGUCAGAAGGUUUCCAUGCAAAGAUGUCCCUAUUCUCACGGAUGAACUCGAUGAGCGCGCCUUCCUAUUUCGGGUCCAGAUUUGCACUGAUGCUGAACUGCUGAGACGAGUCACCUGGAACAAAAUCAACAAGUUUAGUCUCAUCAGCUGAUUUAAACUUCAUUGCUGGUUCAUUCUCCGUGGUUGGCUUUUUCAGAGAGGUCAUAUCUGUUGGGUCAACAUUGUCUUUAUAAAAUUUCAACUCUUCUGUGGCACAAACAGACUCUGCAUAAGCCGCGUCACCUUCCUCACACUCCAGAGCCACUUUCCGGCUGCCGUGAACCGUAAUGGUCCCAUUGUGACCCGGCAUCUUGAGUUGUAAGUACACAUAACACGGCCGUGCCAUGAACUUGGCGUAAGCCGGCCGUCCGAAUAUAGCAUGGUAUGGACUUCUUAUCUUGACCACCUCAAAGGUCAACUUUUCCACCCUGUAGUUGUUCUCAUCACCGAAGGCCACUUCCAGUUCGAUCUUGCCGACUGGAUAAGCCGAUUUACCAGGUACCACACCAUGGAAGAUAGUAUUUGACUGGCUGAGGUUCUUAUCAACUAGCCCCAUACGACGGAAAGUCUCAUAAUAGAGGAUGUUGAUGCUGCUGCCUCCAUCCAUGAGUACCUUUGUGAACUUAUAGCCUCCCACUUGAGGAGCCACCACUAAGGCCAGGUGGCCCGGGUUAUCCACCCGGGGAGGGUGAUCCUCCCUACUCCACACUAUGGGCUGCUCCGACCACCGUAAAUAGCGUGGAACUGCCGGCGCGACAGCAUUAACAGCCCUCUUGUGAAGCUUUUCGUCUCGUUUGCACAAACUAGUGGUGAACACGUGAUACUGUCCACCGCUAAGCUGCUUUGGGUUGGUCUGAUAGCCCCCCCUGUUGCUGUUGAUGACCCUGACCAGACUGUUGAUUAAAGCCCCCUUGACCGUUCUGAGGACCGGAAUUUGACCCGCCGCCCGGGCCAUGGAAGCCGCCAGCGCCGGAGCCGCCUGCGCCUGAGCCGCCGCCCGGGCCAUGUAGUUUUUAAAUGCCUUCAUGAUAGCACAAUCCUUCCACAGGUGAGUCGCUGGCUUCUCUCUAGAGCCGUGUCUCGGACAAGGUUCAUUCAACAGCUGCUCCAGAGAAGGUCCUGACCCGCCGCCUCGGGGAGGGGGCCUCCCCUUGCGUCGCUGGUUGUUGCCUUGGGCAUUGGCUACGAACUCCAGGCUGCCAUCGGCCUUGCGCUUGCCUCCUCCUUGAUUCCCCGGGUUAAACUGAGGACCCUUGCCAUUGCCGUUCUUCUUUCCCUUCCCUGUCCUUUCAUCAUCUGAAGGGGGAUCCUUGGUACCAUCAGAAUCGGCGUACUUGACAAGAGCCGCCAUUAGUGUACCCAUAUCCGUGCAGUCGCGUUUAAGCCGCCCAAGUUUCAUCUUUAGGGGCACAAAACGACAGUUCUGUUCUAACAUCAAGACUGCAGAGCCGGCGUCCAUCUUAUCUGAUGAAUGUAUGAUCUCCUUGACCCGGCGAACCCAAUGGGUCGUGGAUUCACCCUCCUGCUGCUUACAGUUAGUCAAAUCCACAAUUGACAUAGACUGCCUACAGGUAUCCUUGAAGUUUUGAAUGAACCGGGCCUUCAGCUCAGCCCAAGACCCAAUGGAGUUCGGUGGCAGCCCUUUUAACCACAUGCGGGCAGUUCCAUCUAACAUCAUGGUGAAAUAUUUGGCCAUGGCCGCCUCGCUGACCUCUAGCAGUUCCAUAGCCAUCUCAUAACUCUCAAUCCAGGCCGCAGGCUGUAAGUCAGCUGUAUAGUUAGGCACCUUCCUAGGGCCCUUGAAAUCCUUAGGUAGACGUUCAUUACGGAUGGCCGGCACCAAACAAGGGACACCCCCGGUCCUGGUAGAAAUACCCACAUCAAGGGACGCCGUCGGAUAAGCCGGGGGGUCUGAUGAGCCGUCAAUUGCGGCACCUGCUCCGCCUCUUGCCGUGCUUGGUCUGCUGCGUAGAAGGCUCCAACAUGAGCCGGGCCAUGGCCAGGGGGUGGGUCAUGGCGUCGGACAUUACUUGAGCCGGUCGCUGAGACCAUGUGCCGGCUGUAACUCGGGCUCUGGCCUGGGCGAGGAGUUGAGUGGAUCCUGUCCCGGCCGUAGGAGUACGCCUCUUGCUGUGCUAGAGCCGUCUGCAGGAGUUCCCUGACCCGGCGGGUUUCGACGGCUGCCGGAGAAUUGCCGUCAACGGGAAGAGCCGCCAGUCGUGCUACCGCAGCUACCAUGUUCUCCAGCGGGUUAUCGUAAUGACCCGGGGGUAUCGGCACAUACUGAGGCGGGGCAGGGGGCACCUGGGGAGGCCCCAUUACUAGUGGCUGAAUAAGGGGUCCCGACCCGGGCGCAAUGCCCCCUGGUGGGUUACUGGAUUCCGCACCCGGCGUGUUGAAGAGAUUGCGCGGAUCGUAAAUCGGCGGGAGUCGAGACUGGGCCUUCUGAUGCCUCCUUCUCAUGACCUCGUUGGCCGCGUUCUGAUCCAUCGUGAGUUGGAAGGACUGCGCCUGAAUCAACUGAGUCCGGGCGUCGAGAGCCGCCCGCUCCGUCGCCAGCCUGAUCCCUUCUGCUGCAAGAUCCUCUUUAGCUUUCAUCAGAUCCAAUUUUAACUGUGCCACCUCCGCGUCAUGCUGGGCUUGAUCUGCCGGGUCAACCGUGGCGGUUAACAGGGCCGUCAUCUUGUCCGUGAGAUUCAUCAGCACCUGAGCCGGAGAAGGCACUGGGUUUCCCGAUCCAGCAGCGGGGUUCUGAACAGGCUGUGCACCAGCCAUAAAAACUCCGACCUGACUUGGCGGCUCAAAAAGGUCCGGCAUACUGUUGCCAUCUGAAUAACUCAUGAGUCUGCCAUCUUGAAGCUGGUACAACGAGUUUGACUCAUCAGCGGCCGACUCGCCGUCAGAGCCGGCGGCCGCCUCAUCCCCAGACCCAGAUGGAUCAGAGGGCCUUCCAUGGAUGCAUCCCACAAAAGCGUGCUUUAAGGCAGGCCGGGCCCGGGCGGGUCGUGCGCGCUGAGCCGUUUCGAUGAGAUUGGCGCAGAGAUCCGGCUCGGGGCCCGUCUCACCAAUCUUGCCAAUGAAGACAUGAAUUCCGCCAAAGGGGACCCGGUACCCGUACUCCACUGAGCCGGCGUCGGGGCCCCAGUCCGCAUCGUCGAUGUAGAGCUUGCCGCGACGACUCUUGGUCAUCCGGCCCACAGCGUAUCCCUUGAGCCCUUCGAAGCUGCCCUUCAAGAACUCAAAUCCACCGUGCGCCAGCCCCACGGUGGGCGCCAACUGUCGUGGAAUUGUCACGGCAGAUGUCCUCGGGUUGGGACUUAGUCGUGGAGCCAUCGCAAUUGGGAAGCUUGAAGGGGUUAAGCGGGACAAGGAACACGAGGGUUUAUACUGGUUCGGCCCCUUACGGUGAAGGUAAAAGCCUACGUCCAGUUCGAGGUGUUAUUGAUUAGGGUUACGAUUGCCAGGGAGCUAAACAGCUAUGCCCGGCUCUCGAUCAAAUUGUUGUCGCCCUUAAACCGCUGCCGGGUCGUCCCUUUAUAUAGGGAGGCUGACGCCCAGCAGCCCUUAGAGUCCCGGCCGGCUCAUAAGAGUGUCCGGCUCGGACUCUAAACAAUACUUGCCUUACACUACAAGUCUACUAUAACAAUGAUUGUAACUACGGGCUUUAAGCUAUAUCCGGGUCUCCGCCCAUCUCUGGCCCAUUAUCCUGAAACUUAGCUCCGGGCUUCCGGUAAUGAUCCUUGGAGUAACCCGGCCCUCCUGGCGGGUGACCCCCAGGUCUAUAUCCUCAACAGGUGGCAUUGCCCUUCUUAACACCACCACCCUUCACAUUGUUCUUCUUCUCCUUUGGAGCGCCCUCUCCCUCUUUCAUAAAGGUUUGCUUGAGAGGAGUAGGUUGUCUGGUGUUGACCUUAAAGGCUAGUAAAACCCAUAGAGGUGUGUCCACAACCUCCACAUUUUCCUCAUUGCACUGUACCCAUUGUUGACCUCGAAGUUGAACUGCUCAAAAUUUGAAAAUGUGGUACAAGUUGUCAUCCCUGACAGAACUUCAUUAGUCUUGCUAUUAAGCAUCAUGAGGUUAUCUCUAAGCUUAAUUAGCAACCCUGAAUAAAAAGGGCGAAUUUGCUUGCGUUCAUGCCGUCAACACCCACCACCGGCCGCUACAAUAUCCCCGCAGAUUAUUUUCCCCGUGCACGCUGCGUGUCUCCGGUCCAUGCCACCAACUUCCCACCGGCAUUCAAACAUUCCCGACCUCUUUCUUGCAGUACAAAUGAAGCAUGUCCACCGGAAUCCUAGCGACCAGUCCGUCCCGCCGCCGCCGCCGCCAUGGAGGAUUGGCUCUUCUACUCGCUCACCACCAUGCUCUGCCUCCUCAGCUCGCUGCUGCUGCGGGCCCGGGCCCGCAGCCCGUCCCAUUCCGCGACGCUGACGCCGCCGCUGCCUCCAGGUCCGGUGCCGCUGCCGGUUCUGGGCCCGCUGCUCCACCUGGCGCGUCGCGACUUCGACCUGGAGCCCGUGCUGCGGCGCCUCGCGCGGGCCUACGGCCCGGUCUACUCCUUCGCGCCAUUGGGGCUGGCGCGGCCGAUGAUAUUCGUCGCGGCGCGAGGCCCGGCCCACCGCGCCCUCGUCCAGCGGGGCGCCGCCUUCGCCUCCCGCCCGCGCGCCACCGCUCCCGCCGCCGCCGUGCUCACCAGCGGCGGCCGCAACGUCAGCUCCGCGCCGUAUGGGCCCACCUGGCGCGUGCUCCGUCGCACCCUCGCCUCCGGCGUGCUCAACCCGGCCCGCCUCCGCGCCUUCGCCCCCGCGCGGCGCUGGGUGCUCGACGUCCUCCUCUCCCGCAUCCGCUCCGGCGGCGGCGUCGUCGCCGUCAUGGAGCCCUUCCAGUACGCCAUGUUCUGCCUCCUGGUGUACAUGUGCUUCGGCGGCGAUCGCCUCGGCGACGCGCGCGUGAGGGACAUCGAGGCGCUGCAGCGUGACCUCCUCGCCAACUUCCUCAGCUUCCAGGUCUUCUCCUUCCUCCCGCCGCUCACCAAGCUCGUCUUCCGCCGCCGGUGGAGCAAGCUCGUCUCGCUGCGCCGGCGGCAGGAGGAGCUCUUCGUCCCGCUCAUCCGCGCCAGGAGGGAUGCCGGCGCUGGCGGCGACUGCUACGUGGAUUCCCUGGUGAGGCUUGCCAUCCCGGAGGAUGGAGGGAGGGGGCUCACCGACGGCGAGAUCGUCAGCCUCUGCUCCGAGUUCCUGAGCGCCGGGACCGACACCACUGCCACGGCGCUGCAGUGGAUACUCGCGAACCUGGUCAAGAACCCGGCGAUGCAGGACAGGCUAAGGGAGGAGGUCUCCACUGCCGUCGACGGCGAGCUGCGGGAGGAGGACCUGCAGGGGAUGCCGUACCUCAAGGCCGUGGUGCUGGAGGGGCUGAGGCGGCACCCGCCGGGGCACUACGUGCUGCCGCACGCCGCGGCGGAGGAGACGACGCUGGACGGGUACCGCGUCCCGGCGGGCACGCCGGUAAACUUCGCGGUGGGCGACAUCGGGCUGGACGAGGAGAUCUGGACGGCGCCGUCGGAGUUCCGGCCGGAGCGGUUCCUGCCGGGCGGCGAGGGGGAGGACGUGGACCUCACCGGCAGCAAGGAGAUCAAGAUGAUGCCGUUCGGCGCCGGCAGGAGGGUCUGCCCCGCCAUGGCGCUGGCGCUGCUGCACCUCGAGUACUUCGUGGCCAACCUGGUCAGGGAGUUCGAGUGGCGCGAGGAGGCCGGCGAGGAGGUGGACCUCACCGAGAAGCUCGAGUUCACGGUUGUCAUGAGGCGGCCGCUCAAGGCGAGGGCUGUGCCGCUGAGGCAAGGAAUGCCCAUCGCUGCCACGGGCUCAGGUUGAUCGACGGGGGCGAACCAUCUUCUCCUUUCCCGAAUGUUUAGUAGUGCACCGUAGCUUCUCGUUGCUCAUGAUCAUAUAAAGAUGGUAAUUAGAUUAAGCUUGUCUUCUUGUUUUCUUAAUUUGCUUUUGCUAAUGAAAUGUAAUGUGUGGUUUUCUAAUCUAAAGUCAGAUUAAAAUGAAACCAAUGAACGUACAGGAGAACUGCGUCUUCUAUUCAGAAAGCGUGAAAAUGUCAAAAAUUCUCCUGUAUCCAUGAGAUUUAACCGAAGAGGAGCCUUGGCGUAGUGAUAAAGUUAGUGCCUUGUGACCAUGAAGUCACGUCCUCAAGUCUUGGAAACAGUCACUUACAGAAUAGAGGUAAAUAUUGCGUACAAUAGAUCCAAAGUGAUCGGACCCUGCGCAAGCGGGAGCUACAUGCAUCAGGUUGCCUUUUUUAUCCAUGAAAUUUAACCCAAAGAGCGAAAUAAACAGACAAAUAUGAAUACAAGAGAAUUAUUUCUUUUUCUGGAACCUACAUGAGAUGAUAUCAAUCAGUUAAGAUCCUAAGCAUAUUAAGAGCGUGUUCGGGAGCCCUUUGGCUUCUCAAAUCCUCAUCUCCAGCCCGGAGUCCAGCCGAACGGAUCAACUCCUGGCUUUUGGAACGAGAAGCUGGUUAGAAACUGCGUGCAAAAUCGAAGGAGUCGUGGAGUUGGGAAAACGUGGCUCCGCAGAAACUGGGAAGCGGGUUUUGAAAAGAACUACAUGCUUGUGCCACCACCAAGUGACAUUGCGUACCAGUUCGCGAGCAACUAAUCGUAUUCUCUCUCUCCCUCCUGACUCGUACGCCAUCCCCUCUUCUCUUCUUGUUGGGCUGAAGAGGAGAAAACGAGCUAAUUGGGCUGCAAGACCAUCUCUCUCCGUACCAAGCCUGGCUGCAUCCAAGCCUCAUGGGCUGGCAGCCCAUGCGAGCGCUAAUGGUUGAGAAGCUACUGUCCCAAACGGUUUUCAAACUCCAGGAUUUUUACGAGAAGCUAGCAGCUGGUUACGGGCUGAGGAGUCGAGGAGUUUGAGGCUGGGGAGGACUACCGAACAGGCCCUAAGGCACAUGUUUAUCUACUAGAAUGUAGAUGUCUUGAACGUAUUUCAUCGUUAUGUACAGUUCAGCCAUUCCACUCCUACCUAGCGAAUAAAUUGGUAAUCAGGUAUUAGCUAGUUGCCACUUCAUCAUCUAGUAUGAGGCUACGAGCAUGCUCCAAGAACCACAUGCACGAGAGAAAAUAUUCUUACUUGCUUAAAUCAAUGAAAUUUAACAAGCAAGAGUAUAUGUUAAAAUUUACAUUUCUGAAAUUUGCUUACCUGCUCACAACCUUUGUUGGAAAAGGCGGCACUUAGGCACGCUUAGGCGCUAGGUGACAGUCUUUUAGCCUUGCUCUCAACUCUUGAUAUUCACUUGCAACACAAGUACCACUUGGUGGACUUUUCUAUAAAAGUAAGCACCCACUCCGCCUUGCGCCUAGCUAGAUCAUUUCCUCGAACAAGAGUGCUUUCAUCUUGGGCCGCAGCGUCCACGAUAAUUUUUUGUUGGUUCAGCCAACGACCAAAUUUCUUCAUAAACACAAGGCUCCGAGAGUGCUCCUCAAGCUGGACAUCGCCCACGCCUUCAACUUGGUAUCCUGGCCCUUCCUCCUAGAGACUCUCAAACUCCUUGGAUUCGGCAAUGGCUGGUGCAAGUGUGUUUCAAUCCUACUCUCCACAACAUUGAUUGGGGUGCUCGUCAAUGGUCACCCCGUGCCACUAUCCCCCACGCGUGUGGCUUACAGCAGGGAGAUCCUCUGACCCCAUGCUAUUCACCAUGGUGAUCGACGUGCUUAACUCCCUUCUCCAUCACGCGGUCCAUGUUGGAGUCCUUCAGCUCCUCACCACACACCUUGCCGCUUCGAGCAUCUCUCUCUUUGCAGAUGAUGUGGUAAUUUUCUGGCAUACAAACCCUUCGGAGGCUUUUGUGUCUGGAAUUGAUUGCAAGUAACACCUUCGAGCAAUGUCCGCACCAAUAAUAACUCAAUAUUUCUUGCACUUCAGACGUAAACAAGCGAGUAAAAUAGUUUUGUAUAUGAGGGUUUAAUCCAGCCAUACUUCUAACUAAUUCCAAUUGUCUUCUUGCAAUCUUUUCAAAGUUCCUCUUUCUUCUAGAAGACACAAAGGCCUGAAAGAAAUCGGUGUUGCGACGUUCACCACUUUUCAACCAAGUUGCCCGAAACCUUUGUUGGGGAACGUAGUAUUUCAAAAAAUUUACCUACGAUCACGCAAGAUCUAUCUAGGAGAAGCAUAGAAACGAGCGAGGAGAGUGUGUCCACGUACCCUCGUAGACCGAAAGCGGAAGCGUUUAGUAACGCGGUUGAUGUAGUCAAACGUCUUCGCGAUCCAACCGAUCCAAGUACCGAACGCACAGCACCUCCGCGAUCUGCACACGUUCAGCUCGGUGACGUCCCUCGAACUCUUGAUCCAGUUGAGGCCGAGGGAGAGUUUCGUCAACACGACGGCGUGGUGACGGUGAUGAUGAAGUUACCGGCGUAGGGCUUCACCUAAGCACUACGACAAUAUGACCGAGGUGUAAAACUGUGGAGGGGGCACCGCCAUUCAAUAUAAAUACAUAUCCGUUUUGCGACUUAGAGUCAUCCGGAUCAGUGUCAAAGCUAGAAUCGACGUAACCAUUUACGACGAGCUCUUUCUCACCCACAUAAACGAGAAACAUAUCCUUAGUCCUUUUCAGGUAUUUCAGGAUGUUCUUGACCGCUGUCCAGUGAUCCACUCCUGGAUUACUUUGGUACCUCCCUGCUAAACUUAUAGCAAGGCACACAUCAGGUCUGGUACACAACAUUGCAUACAUGAUAGAACCUAUGGCUGAGGUGUUGGGGGAACGUAGCAUGCAAUUUCAAAAAAUUUCCUACGGUCACGCAAGAUCUAUCUAGGAGAUGCAUAGCAACGAGAGGGGGAGAGUGUGUCCACGUACCUUCGUAGACCGAAAGCGGAAGCGUUAGCUUAACGCGGUUGAUGUAGUCAAACGUCUUCGUGAUCCAACCGAUCAAGCACCGAAUGUACGGCACCUCCGAGUUCUGCACACGUUUAGCUCGAUGACGUCCCUCAAAAUCUUGAUCCAGCAAAGUGUCGAGGGAGAGUUUCGUCAACAUGAUGGCGUGGUGACGGUGAUGGUGAUGUGAUUCGCGCAGGGCUUCGCCUAAGCACUACGAUAAUAUGACCGGAGGAGUAAACUGUGGAGGGGGACAUCGCACACGGCAAAGAAACAAUUGAUGUGCUUUGGGGUGCCCCCUGCCCCCGUAUAUAAAGAAGGAUAGGGGAGGAGGCCGGCCCUAGGGGGCGCACCAAGUGGGGGGCAACCCACUAGGACUCCUAGUCCUAGUCGCCCCCCUUCCUUCUUGCGGAGGGGGAAAGGGGGAAGGAGAGGGAGGGGGAGAAGGAAAGGGGGCCGCGCCCCCUCCACAUGUCCAAUUCGGACUCCCCAUGGGGGAGGGGGGGGGGGCGCCACCCCUUGUGGGCUGCCCUCUGUCUCCCCUAUAGCCCAUAGUGGCCCAUUACUUUCCCCGGGGGUUCCGGUAACCCCUCGGUACUCCCAUAAAUAUCUGAAACACUCCGAAACCAUUCCUGUGUCCGAAUACUAUCGUCCAAUAUAUCAAUCUUUACCUCUCAACCAUUUCGAGACUCCUCGUCAUGUCCGUUAUCCCAUCCUGGACUCCGAACAACCUUCGGUCACCAAAACACAUAACUCAUAAUACAAAUCGUCAUCGAACGUUAAGCGUGCGGACCCUAGGGCCGCUUCACACGUAGAUCCUGCCACGAUGCUUUGCUUGGAACUACACCAACUGACAGCUCCACCAUUCAAUAUAAAUACAUAUCCGGUUUGUGACUUAGAGUCAUCCGGAUCAGUGUCAAAACUAGCAUCGACUAGACCUGGCCAUACCUCGGGCCGGGCCGGGCUUCGGGCCGGGCCUAGCCAAGCCCGAUGCAAAAAACCCAGGCCCGGGCCCGGCCCGGCCAUCGGGCCUGUUUUCUGGGCCCAAGCCCGGCCCGAACACAGAAAAGCCCGUCGGGCUCCGGCCCGGCCUGGCCCGACCUUUAGAAAAGUGCAAAAACAACGGGCCCGGGCCCGGCCCGGCCCGGCCACCGGGCUCAAAAUCUAGGCCCGAGCCCGGCCCGGGAGCAGCGUCGGGCUGGGCCUGAUCGGGCCGGGUCAGGCCGGGCUGGCCGGGCCGGGCUUCCCAUGGCCAGGUAUGGCAUCGACGUAACCAUUUACGACGAGCUCUUUGUCACCUCCAUAAACAAGAAACAUAUCCUUAGUCCUAUUUAGGUAUUUCAGGAUGUUCUUGACCGCUUUCCAGUGAUCCACUCCUGGAUUACUUUGGUACCUCCCUGCUAAACUUAUAGCAAGGCACACAUCAGGUCUGGUACACAACAUUGCAUACAUGAUAGAACCUAUGGCUGAAGCAUAGGGAAUGACUUUCAUUUUCUCUCUAUCUUUUGAUGUGGUUGGGCAUUGAGUCUGACUCAACUUCACACCUUGUAACAUAGGCAAGAACCCUUUCUUUGACUGAUCCAUUUUGAACUUCUUCAAAACUUUAUCAAGGUAUGUGCUUUGUGAAAGUCCAAUUAAGCGUCUUGAUCUAUCUAUAUAGAUCUUGAUGCCUAAUAUAUAAGCAGCUUCACCGAGGUCUUUCAUUGAAAAUUCUUAUUCAAGUAUCCUUUUAUGCUAUCCAGAAAUUCUAUAUCAUUUCCAAUCAACAAUAUGUCAUCCACAUAUAAUAUUAGAAAUGCUACAGAGCUCCCCCUCACUUUCUUGUAAAUACAGGCUUCUCCAAAAGUCUGUAUAAAACCAUAUGCUUUGAUCCCACUAUCAAAGCGUAUAUUCCAACUCCGAGAUGCUUGCACUGGUCCAUCAAUGGAUCGCUGGAGCUUGCACACUUUGUUAGCACCUUUAGGAUCGACAAAACCUUCUAGUUGCAUCAUAUACAACUCUUCUUUAAGAAAUCCAUUAAGGAAGGCAGUUUUGACGUCCAUUUGCCAAAUUUCAUAAUCAUAAAAUGCGGCAAUUGCUAACAUGAUUCGGACAGACUUAAGCAUCGCUACGGGUGAGAAGGUCUCGCCAUAGUCAACCCCUUGAACUUGUCGAAAACCUUUUGCAACAAGUCGAUCUUUGUAGACAGUAACAUUACCAUCAGUGUCAGUCUUCUUCUUGAAAAUCCAUUUAUUCUCUAAGGCUUGCCGCGGGCAAGUCAACCAAAGUCCAUACGUUGUUCUCAUACAUGGAUCCCAUCUCAGAUUUCAUGGCCUCAAGCCAUUUCGCGGAAUUUGGGCUCAUCAUUGCUUUCUCAUAGUUCGUAGGUUCGUCAUGGUCUAGUAACAUGACUUCCAGAACAGGAUUACCGUGCCACUCUGGAGUGGAACGUACUCUGGUUGACCUAUGAGGUUCGGUAGUAACUUGAUCUGAAGUUUCAUGAUCAUCAUCAUUAGCUUCCUUACUAAUUUGUGUAGGCAUUACGGGAACAGUUUUCUGUGAUGAACUACUUCCCAAUUCAAGAGAAGGUACAGUUACCUCAUCAAGUUCUACUUUCCUCUCACUCACUUCUUUCGAGAGAAACUCCUUCUCUAGAAAGGAUCCAUUCUUAGCAACAAAUAUCUUGCCUUCGUCUUUGUGAUAGAAGGUGUACCCAACAGUUUCUUUUGGGUAUCCUAUGAAGAAGCACUUCUCCGAUUCGGGUUCGAGCUUAUCAGGCUGAAGCUUUUUCACAUAAGCAUCGCAACCCCAAACUUUAAGAAAUGAUAGCUUAGGUUUCUUACCAAACCACAGUUCAUAUGGUGUCGUCGCAAUGGAUUUAGAUGGUGCCCUAUUUAACGUGAAUGCAGCUGUCUCUAAUGCAUAACCCCAAAGCGAUAGUGGUAAAUCUGUAAGAGACAUCAUAGAUCGUACCAUAUCUAAUAAAGUACGGUUACGACGUUCGGACACACCAUUACGCUGUGGUGUUCCAGGUGGCGUGAGUUGCGAAACUAUUCCACAUUGUUUCAAAUGAAGACCAAACUCGUAACUCAAAUAUUCGCCUCCACGAUCAGAUCGUAGAAACUUUAUUUUCUUGUUACGAUGAUUUUCCACUUCACUCUGAAAUUCUUUGAACUUUUCAAAUGUUUCAGACUUGUGUUUCAUUACGUAGAUAUACCCAUACCUGCUUACAUCAUCUGUGAAGGUAAGAAAAUAACGAUACCCGCCGCGAGCCUCAACACUCAUCGGACCGCAUACAUCAGUAUGUAUUAUUUCCAAUAAGUCAGUGGCUCGCUCCAUUGUUCCGGAGAACGGAGUCUUAGUCAUCUUGCCCAUGAGGCAUGGUUCGUAAGCAUCAAGUAAUUCAUAAUCAAGUGAUUCCAAAAUCCCAUCUUCAUGGAGUUUCUUCAUGCGCUUUACACCAAUAUGGCCUAAACGGUAGUGCCACAAAUAAGUUGCACUAUCAUUAUUAACUUUGCAUCCUUUGGCAUCAAUAUUAUGAAUAUGUGUAUCACCAUGAUCGAGAUUCAACAAAAAUAGACCACUCAUCAAGGGUGCAUGACCAUAAAAUAUAUUACUCAUAUAAAUAGAACAACCAUAUCAAACAAGAUCCAGAUAUAAUGUUCAUGCUCAAAGCUGGCACCAAAUAACAAUUAUUCAGGUCUAAAACUAAUCCCGAUGGUAGAUCUAGAGGUAGCGUGCCGACAGCGACCACAUCGACCUUGGAACCAUUUCCGACGUGCAUCGUCACCUCGUCCUUAGCCAAUCUUCGUUUAAUCCGUAGCCCCUGUUUCGAGUUGCAAAUAUGAGCAACAGAACCAGUAUCAAAUACCCAGGCGCUACUACGAGCAUUAGUAAGGUACACAUCAAUAACAUGUAUAUAAAAUAUACCUUUCACUUUGCCAUCCUUCUUAUCUGCCAAAUACUUGGGACAGUUCCGCUUCCAGUGACCAGUCCCUUUGCAGUAGAAGCACUCAGUUUCAGGCUUAGGUCCAGACUUGGGCUUCUUCCCGGGAGCAACAACUUGCUUGCUAUUCUUCUUGAAGUUCGCCUUCUUCCCUUUGCCCUUUUUCUUGAAACAAGUGGUCUUGUUAACCAUCAACACUUGAUGCUCCUUCUUGAUUUCUACCUCUGUAGCCUUGAGCAUUGCGAAGAGCUCGGGAAUCGUCUUGUUCAUCCCUUGCAUAUGAUAGUUCAUCACGAAGCCUUUAUAGCUUGGUGGCAGUGAUUAAAGAACUCUAUCAAUGACACUAUCAUCUGGAAGAUUAACUCCUAGCUGAGUCAAGUGGUUAUGGUACCCAGACAUUCUGAGUAUGUGUUCACUGACAGAACUGUUCUCCUCCAUCUUGCAGCUAUAGAACUUGUUGGAGACUUCAUAUCUCUCAACUCGGGCAUUUGCUUGAAAUAUUAACUUCAACUCCUGGAACAUCUCAUAUGCUCCAUGACGUUCAAAACGUCUUUGAAGUCUCGAUUCUAAGCCGUAAAGCAUGGCACACUGGACUAUCAAGUAGUCAUCAGAUUUAGCUUGCCAGACAUUCAUAACGUCAGCAGUUGCUCCUGCAGUAGGCCUUGCACCUAGCGGUGCAUCAAGGACGCAAUUCUUCAGUGCAGCAAUGAGGAUAAUCCUCAAGUUACGGACCCAGUCCGUGUAGUUUCUACCAUCAUAUUUCAACUUAGCUUUCUCUAGGAACGCAUUAAAAUUCAAGGGAACGGUAGCACGGGCCAUUUAUCUACAACAUAGAUAUGCAAAAACUACCAGGACUAAGUUCAUGAUAAAUGUAAGUUCAAUUAAUCAUAUUACUUAAGAACUCCCACUUAGAUGGACAUCCCUCGAGUCAUCUAAAUGAUGACGUGAUCCAUAUCAACUAAACCAUGUCCGAUCAUCACGUGAGAUGGAGUAGUUUUCAAUGGUGAACAUCUCUAUGUUAAUCAUAUCUAUUAUCACUGGUUCGCAUCGGUGCUAUACAAACGGUUUUUGAACCCUUUCCACGACGACAUUUGGAACCGUCGCCUAGUGAGUGACGGCGAUAGGGGGGUCCUUCACACGACCCAGAAACUGUCGGGGAUAGGGAGCCAAGAUGCAUAUACAUUACUCCUACUCGUUUGUGCUCGCAUUGCCAUCGCAGUCGGUAUUCUGUGGUGCUACUUUUAUGAUGCGCGGCCCAUCACAAACGGUUCACUAUUAUAGAGCGUGUAUGAUAAGCAUACAAUCACACACAUUCGCUUUUCCCAAACCGUAUGCGACAACUAAUUAAGAAGAUUAGCUAAUGGUUGUACGAGUGUCAGACAGGAUUACGAAACGUCGUACCGUCGUGAAAGGAUCGAGAAGAGGUGUCUAGAGGGGGUGAUUAGACUCUCAACAAAGAAAAGUAGCAGUUUUUAAUUUCUUCAAGUUAAGGUGGAGUUUUAACACAAGUUUAAACAUUCACAAUACAUUUCAAGCAAGCAUGGCAAGAGUAUAUGAGCAGUGGAAAGUAAAGCACGCAAGUUGCAAGAAAGUAAAGGGAUGGGAUUGGAGUGUGCAAACGCAAUUGGAGACACGGAGAUUUUUGGCGUGGUUCCGAUAGGUGGUGCUAUCAUACAUCCACGUUGAUGGAGACUUCAACCCACGAAGGGUAACAGUUGCGCGAGUCCAUGGACGGCUCCACCCACGAAGGGUCCACGAAGAAGCAACCUUGUCUAUCCCACCAUGGCCAUUGCCCACGAAGGACUUGCCUCACUAGGGUAGAUCUUCAUGAAGUAGGCGAUCUCCUUGCCCGUACAAACUCCUUGGUUCAACUCCACAAUCUUGACGGAGGCUCCCAAGUAACACCUAACCAAUCUAGGAGACACCACUCUCCAAAAGGUAAUAGAUGGUGUGUUGAUGAUGAACUCCUUGCUCUUGUGCUUCAAAUGAUAGUCUCCCCAACACUCAACUCUCUCUUAGAUUUGGAUUUGGUGGAAAGAUGAUUUGAGUGGAAAGCAACUUGGGGAAGGCUAGAGAUCAAGAUUCUUGUGGUUGGAUUGUAAUAUCUUGGUCUCAACACAUGAGUAGGUGGUUCUCUCUCAGAAAAUGAAUGCUGGAAGUGUAGGCACGUUCUAAUGGCUUUCCUCACGAAUGAAGGAAGGGUGAAGGGGUAUAUAUAGCCUCCACACAAAAUCUAGCCGUUACAGACAAUUCACCAAACUCGAUGGGACCUGUCGUGGAAUUGUCACGGCAGAUGUCCUAGCAGAAGGACUUAGUCGUGGAGCCAUUGCAACAGGGUUAGCUUAAAGGGGUUAAAUGGGACAAAAGCACAAGGAGUUUAUACUGGUUCGGCCCCUUGCGGUGAAGGUAAAGGCCUAAUCCAGUUUGAGGUGGUAUUGCUUAUGCCUCGAUUACUAGGGAGCGAAUACGCUUGACCUAGCUUUCGAUCUGUUGUUUCUUGCCCUAAGCCGCCGCUGGGUCGCCCCUUUAUAUACACAGGUUGACGCCCAGCGGCUUACAGAGUCCCGACCGGCUCAUAAACAACGUGUCCGGCCUGGUGACUAAUUACACUUGCCUUACAAUACAAGUUAUACAUAUAUGGCGGUUUACACUUAUGGGCUUUAAGCCGCCUUUGGGCUUCGGGCCCUUUAACAAGUCUGCUUCAUGAACCGCCAUCUUCAACAUCUUCAUGGGCUUUGUCUUGAUGAGUCGCCAUUGGGAUAACCCGGCCCCUCCUGGGUGGGUCAUACCCAAUAGUCAUAUCCCCAACAUUAGGCCCCAGGUUGAUUUGAACUUGUUCAUGUCAAUCUUCAACACUUAGAAAAAAUCCUUCUUCAUUUGUUCUUGCAAGAUAUUGUAACCCGCCAUGACGUCAUCUCCUGGAAUUACGGAAACCCGCCAUGAUGUCAUCUGUCAUUAUUUUCGCACAAUAUCCAGCAUAUCUUAAUAAAUCCUUUAUCUUUAAUAACCAUCCCGAAGAUCGAGGCGUCUGAGCGGCUGGAUAAUCAUUCUUUGGCCUCCUCGAUUUUCGCGCCCGCCUGUUACCUCUUUCCUUAUAAAUAGGGCCAGGCAGCCUUUUAAUUUUCCACUUUUCCUUCUCGUCUUCAACCUCUCUCUUCGCGACGCAUUUGCAUGCACUACAAAAAAAAAA
rnacentral:lncRNA from 1 species